AGAGAUCAUGGCUCAGAAUCAACGCUGGCGGCGUGCCUAACACAUGCAAGUCGAACGCGAAAGGGGAGCAAUCCCUGAGUAGAGUGGCAAACGGGUGAGUAACACGUGGGUGACCUGCCUUCGAGUGGGGGAUAACGUUCCGAAAGGAACGCUAAUACCGCAUGACAUCCUGCUUUUGGAAAAGCGGAGAUCAAAGCUGGGGAUUCGCAAGAACCUAGCGCUUGAAGAGGGGCCCGCGCCUGAUUAGCUAGUUGGUGAGGUAACGGCUCACCAAGGCUACGAUCAGUAUCCGGCCUGAGAGGGCGGACGGACACACUGGGACUGAGACACGGCCCAGACUCCUACGGGAGGCAGCAGUGGGGAAUUGUUCGCAAUGGGCGCAAGCCUGACGACGCAACGCCGCGUGGAGGAUGAAGAUUUUCGGAUCGUAAACUCCUGUCGAGUGGGAAGAAUAGCCUGGGGGCGAAUAUCCCCGAGGUCUGACGGUACCACUAAAGGAAGCCCCGGCUAACUCCGUGCCAGCAGCCGCGGUAAUACGGGGGGGGCAAGCGUUGUUCGGAAUUACUGGGCGUAAAGGGCUCGUAGGCGGCCAACUAAGUCAGACGUGAAAUCCCCAGGCUCAACCUGGGAACUGCGUCUGAUACUGGAUGGCUUGAAUUCGGGAGAGGGAUGCAGAAUUCCAGGUGUAGCGGUGAAAUGCGUAGAUAUCUGGAGGAAUACCGGUGGCGAAGGCGGCAUCCUGGACCGACAUUGACGCUGAGGAGCGAAAGCUAGGGGAGCAAACGGGAUUAGAUACCCCGGUAGUCCUAGCCCUAAACGAUGAAUGCUUGGUGUAACGGGAAUCGAUCCCUGUUGUGCCGAAGCUAACGCAUUAAGCAUUCCGCCUGGGGAGUACGGUCGCCA
rnacentral:rRNA from 1 species